GAAAUGCGAUAAGUAGUGUGAAUUGCAGAAUUCAGUGAAUCAUCGAAUCUUUGAACGCACAUUGCGCCCUUUGGUAUUCCUUAGGGCAUGCCUGUUCGAGCGUCAUCUAAACCUUCAAGCCCUGCUUGGUGUUGGGUGCCUGUCCCGCCUCCGCGCGCGGACUCACCUCAAAUCCAUUGGCGGCCCCCGCGUCGGCCACGAGCGCAGCAGAAACGCGAACUCGUGAGCCCGUCCGGGCGGCUCCCAGAAGCUACACCCACCCAGUUUUACCUCGGAUCAGGUAGGGAUACCCGCUGAACUUAAGC
rnacentral:misc_RNA from 1 species